rnacentral:rRNA from 1 species
UACGUAGGCAGCGAGCGUUGUUCGGAAUUACUGGGCGUAAAGAGCUCGUAGGUGGUUUGUCGCGUUGUUCGUGAAAACUCACAGCUUAACUGUGGGCGUGCGGGCGAUACGGGCAGACUAGAGUACUGCAGGGGAGACUGGAAUUCCUGGUGUAGCGGUGGAAUGCGCAGAUAUCAGGAGGAACACCGGUGGCGAAGGCGGGUCUCUGGGCAGUAACUGACGCUGAGGAGCGAAAGCGUGGGGAGCGAACAGG